rnacentral:rRNA from 1 species
AUUGAACGCUGGCGGCAGGCCUAACACAUGCAAGUCGAACGAGUGGCGGACGGGUGAGUAAUGUCUGGGACACUGCCUGAUGGAGGGGGUUAACUACUGGAAACGGGAGCUAAUCCCGCAUACCAUCGGAGGUGCCCAGAUGGGAUUAGCUAGUAGGUGGGGUAAAGGCUCACCUAGGCGACGAUCCCUAGCUGGUCUGAGAGGAUGACAGGCCACAAUGGAACUGAGACACGGUCCAGACUCCUACGGGAGGCAGCAGGGGGGAAUAUUGCACAAUGGGGGCAAGCCGGAUGCAGCCAUGCCGCGUGUAUGAAGAAGGCCUUCGGGGUGUAAAGUACUUUCAGCGGGGAGGCGUUACCCGCAGAAGAAGCACCGGCUAAAUCCGUGCCAGCAGCCGCGGUAAUAC